rnacentral:rRNA from 1 species
CAUCUUGGUCAUUUAGAGGAAGUAAAAGUCGUAACAAGGUCUCCGUUGGUGAACCAGCGGAGGGAUCAUUACCGAGUUUACAACUCCCAAACCCAAUGUGAACGUUACCAAACUGUUGCCUCGGCGGGAUCUCUGCCCCGGGUGCGUCGCAGCCCCGGACCAAGGCGCCCGCCGGAGGACCAACCAAAACUCUUUUUGUAUACCCCCUCGCGGGUUUUUUAUAAUCUGAGCCUUCUCGGCGCUUCUCGUAGGCGUUUCGAAAAUGAAUCAAAACUUUCAACAACGGAUCUAUUGGUUCUGGCAUCGAUGAAGAACGCAGCGAAAUGCGAUAAGUAAUUUGAAGAGCAGAAGUCAGUGAAUCAUCGAAUCUGGAAUGCACAUUGCGCCCGCCAGUAUUCUGGCGGGCAUGCCUGUCCGAGCGUCAUUUCAACCCUCGAACCCCUCCGGGGGGUCGGCGUUGGGGAUCGGCCAUGCCUUUGCGGGUGGCCGUCUCCGAAAUACAGUGGCGGUCUCGCCGCAGCCUCUCCUGCGCAGUAGUUUGCACACUCGCAUCGGGAGCGCGGCGCGUCCACAGCCGUUAAACACCCAAAUUCGAAAUUGACUCGAUCAGGUAGGA